ACUCCUGCGGGAGGCAGCAGUGGGGAAUUUUGGACAAUGGGCGAAAGCCUGAUCCAGCAAUGCCGCGUGCAGGAUGAAGGCCUUCGGGUUGUAAACUGCUUUUGUACGGAACGAAAAAGCUCCUUCUAAUACAGGGGGCCCAUGACGGUACCGUAAGAAUAAGCACCGGCUAACUACGUGCCAGCAGCCGCGGUAAUACGUAGGGUGCGAGCGUUAAUCGGAAUUACUGGGCGUAAAGCGUGCGCAGGCGGUUAUGUAAGACAGAUGUGAAAUCCCCGGGCUCAACCUGGGAACUGCAUUUGUGACUGCAUGGCUAGAGUACGGUAGAGGGGGAUGGAAUUCCGCGUGUAGCAGUGAAAUGCGUAGAUAUGCGGAGGAACACCGAUGGCGAAGGCAAUCCCCUGGACCUGUACUGACGCUCAUGCACGAAAGCGUGGGGAGCAAACAGGAUUAGAAACCCCGGUAGUCCCA
rnacentral:rRNA from 1 species